rnacentral:rRNA from 1 species
AGUGAACGCUGGCGGCAGGCCUAACACAUGCAAGUCGAACGGCAGCAGAGUACUUGCUUGUGGAUUCGGCGGCGGACUGGUGAGUGGUGCCUGAGAACCUGGGAAGCUGUGGUUGCUAAGGGGCGAAAGUAGGCGAUCAUACCCUAAUCCCGCAGAGGAAGUACGUGGGAGAGCUUCGGACCUUCCGACCUCACGUGAGCCUAGGUCGGAUUAGCUAGUUGGCGGGGUAAAGGCCUACCAAGGCGACGAUCCGUAGCUGGUCUGAGAGGAUGAUCAGUCACACUGGAACUGAGACACGGUCCAGACUCCUACGGGAGGCAGCAGUGGGGAAUAUUGGACAAUGGGCGCAAGCCUGAUCCAGCCAUACCGCGUGGGUGAAGAAGGUCUUCGGAUUGUAAAGCCCUUUAAGUGGGGAGGAAAAGCAGCAAGUUAAUACCUUGCUGUUCUGACGUUACCAACAGAAUAAGCACCGGCUAACUUCGUG